ACAGGGAACCGGUUAUGUAUACCGCUACAAUAAAUUCAACAGAGAUGAACAUUCUUCGAUAUGAUCGACUUGACAACGAAGACACCACAGGUCAAGUGGGUGUAUGCUAUUACAGAAUCCUUCACUACUAUAAUGGCAGCUGUUACAUCGCAGAAAGAAUAUAUUACGCAGCUGAAGCAACUCGACAGUAUGCAGUAAAACACACAUGCGAACUGUGGGUAGUGAAAGAAGACAUUAUCUCUCACAAUAUGAACCAUUUGACACUGAAAGCAAAAAUGUGCAAGCUUGUAUUCGACCAUCUUUGCUACCAAGGGAAAUCAGUUUAUUCCCACAAGUCUUGCAGGAAGCGCAAUCAAUAAAUUUUGUCAACGCACCGUUUACCUAUACCGCUAACCUGAUGAUUUCAAUACGAAAGGAGUUUAAAAUAGUAAUAAAGGAGCUAUAUUUCUACA